AAAGUUAAACGGCCGCGGUAUCCUGACCGUGCAAAGGUAGCAUAAUCACUUGUUCCUUAAUUAGGGACUAGUAUGAACGGCUAGACGAGGGUUCAACUGUCUCUUAUUCUCAAUCAGUGAAAUUGACCUUCCAGUGAAGAGGCUGGAAUAAUAAAAUAAGACGAGAAGACCCUAUGGAGCUUUAAUUAACUAGCUUAAUUUAUAAAAACUCAACCUUAUGGUACAAAACAAAAAAAAAUAGGCUAGCAAUUUCGGUUGGGGUGACCUCGGAGAACAGAAAAACCUCCGAAUGAUUUUAGUCAAGACUUACAAGUCAAAACAAUUACAUAAAUCUUAUUGACCCAAAACUUUUUGAUCAACGGACCAAGUUACCCUAGGGAUAACAGCGCAAUCCUAUUUAAGAGUUCAUAUCGACAAUUAGGGUUUACGACCUCGAUGUUGGAUCAGGACAUCCCAA
rnacentral:rRNA from 1 species